AACAAGAUACGCCUGGAGCUCUAUCACCGAGGCGAAUAAUUUACGGUAUAAAAAGAUUUACAGCCGAGAGGGCUAACUCGUUGGAGCACACAAGCAAUUACAAAGCCAGCUAGAUACAACUUUUGGCACCAGCGGAGCGCAGCGCACAACCCUCGAAUACGCUCCUUGAGCUGAGCCCUCUCUUGCCUCUUUUUUAUCCCGGGUGACAAUUAAUUUGUGCGCUCCAAGUCAAAUCAGAGCGCACUCCGUUGAAAUGCGAGCAGUAGCAUAAAGACCUUGCACCUUCGAGAGAGGGGACAGAGACAUAUUUAGUGUUUGACAGUGUCAGACAGUGAGCGGGGAACAGCAGAGGAGCACCUGUCUUCACGGCAUGUCCUUGGAAAGCAGCUAAAACCGAGACGCAUCAUCGGUCUAGUCCGGGGACAGAAGCCUAAACAAAUGGGCGCUGCCAGCGUGGACCUGCUGGUCACCCUCCAGAUCCUGCCGGGUUUCUUCUCCAACUGCCUGUUCCUCGCGCUCUACGACUCGGUGGUGCUGGUGAAGCGUGUGGUGUCGUUGCUGAGCUGCCCUGGCGGCGGCGGGGGAGAGUGGCAGCGCAUGCUGACCUCGGCAGGGCUCCGUUCCAUAUGGAACAGCUUUCUGCUGGACGCAUACAAACAGGUGAAACUUGGCAGUGAGGCACCCAACUCCAAAGUGGUGAAGGUUCCUGGUAGCGGUGGUAACCAUGGCGUCCGGCGGAGGAGCAGUGUGACCGCCACCACGGCCCGUCAUCCUGGAGACGAGUGCCGCCUGCUGGACUUCGAGUCAUCAGAGCGCCCUCUUGUGGUGAACUUCGGUUCGGCCACCUGACCCCCAUUCAUCAGCCACCUGCCUGCCUUCCGGCUGCUGGUGGAGGAGUUCUCUAACGUGGCUGACUUCCUGCUGGUCUACAUCGACGAGGCGCACCCCUCAGACGGCUGGGUGGCGCCCACCAUGGGCCCAUGCUCCUUCGAGGUCAGGAAGCACCGGUCGCUGGAAGAGAGGGUGGUGGCUGCCAUGAAACUGACUGAGGCCUUCAGCCUGCCGCCUCAGUGCCAGCUGGUGGCUGACUGCAUGGACAACAAUGCUAACGUAGCCUACGGCGUGUCCUACGAGAGGGUGUGCAUCGUGCAGAGAAGGAAGAUUGCCUACCUGGGUGGGAAAGGACCCUUCUUCUACAACCUGAAGGAUGUGAGGCAGUAUCUGGAACAGAGAUAUGGCAAGAGAUAAGGGGCAGACAGACAGAGAGGACGAGUUCUGUGACAACUGAACGGCUGAUAAGAGAAAGACAGAAUAUUUAUUUUCGUAUAAAGGGAGAAUUAAAGGAAGGCGAGGUGCUUUCAGAACUGAUCUGUUCUGACCACGAAUGACAGGCAAUGCUCGGGAACAGAACAUGUGACAGGUUCUAAAAUUCCCAAGUUCCACAUCUCUGGAACUUCCUUUCUGGAAGGAGACCAACAUUCCAUAAAACCUUUUGACUGGAACACAAUAGAACAGAUAGACUUAAGAACAUGGACUGAUGCUCUGCUACCUAUGACAGUGAGUUGACUGAAAGAAGAAAUUGAAUAGGUUGACCCGUGACACGCUUUAUCAAUAACUCCAACCCCAGUUGCGAAUAAUCUAAACGUUUUCUAGUUACAGUACACAUUAUCUUCUAACCUGGCUCCUUUCAAAACCAAAACCAAAUUACUGCACAGAGAAGAAAGCACAAGUGCCCAACUAUAUAAAUGUAAAUGUAUAUAUAUAUACGCAAAUAUGUGUAUAUAUAUAUAUAUAUGCAUAUAUAUAUAUAUAAACAAUUAUAUUAAUUUAUUUCUAUGGAGUUUUAAAUGUUAUGUUUGUUUUUACACCACGAUAAUGUUUUGUAUGUUGAUGCACUUGCAAUGCUUUUUAUUUAAGAAAACAAUCGAUCAUAUAAGGGGUGUUAUACCACUGUUUAAACCACCUAGAGUAGACUGUUUAAACCACCUAGAGUAGACUGUUUUAAACCAUCUAGAGUAGACUGUUUAAACCACCUAGAGUAGACUGUUUAAACCACCUAGAGUAGACUGUUUAAACCACCUAGAGUAGACUGUUUAAACCACCUAGAGUAGACUGUUUUAACCACCUAGAGUAGACUGUUUUAACCACCUAGAGUAGACUGUUUUAACCCAUCUAGAGUAUACUGUUUUAACCCAUCUAGAGUAGACUGUUUAAACCAUCUAGAGCAGACUGUUUAAACCACCUAGAGUAGGCUGUUUUAAACCAUCUAGAGUAGACUGUUUUAAACCAUCUAGAGUAGACUGUUUUAAACCAUCUAGAGUAGACUGUUUUAAACCAUCUAGAGUAGACUGUUUUAAACCAUCUAGAGUAGACUGUUUUAAACCAUCUAGAGUAGACUGUUUUAAACCAUCUAGAGUAGACUGUUUUAAACCAUCUAGAGUAGACUGUUUUAAACCAUCUAGAGUAGACUGUUUUCAACCAUCUAGAGUAGACUGUUUUCAACCAUCUAGAGUAGACUGUUUUCAACCAUCCAGAGUAGACUGUUUUCAACCAUCCAGAGUAGACUGUUUUAAACCAUCUAGAGUAGGCUGUUUUAAACCAUCUAGAGUAGACUGUUUUAAACCAUCUAGAGUAGACUGUUUUAAACCAUCUAGAGUAGACUGUUUUAAACCAUCUAGAGUAGACUGUUUUAAACCAUCUAGAGUAGACUGUUUUAAACCAUCUAGAGUAGACUGUUUUCAACCAUCUAGAGUAGACUGUUUUCAACCAUCUAGAGUAGACUGUUUUCAACCAUCCAGAGUAGACUGUUUUCAACCAUCCAGAGUAGACUGUUUUAAACCAUCUAGAGUAGGCUGUUUUAAACCAUCUAGAGUAGACUGUUUUAAACCAUCUCGACUCAGACACUUCCAAGCACAUCGUUCAUGUUACACCACCACCUAGAAAAUAGACGUUAGCUCUGUGUCCAUCUCCUCCAUAUGGGCGUUUUAACCCAACAGACAAUGAGAGAUGGAGGAAAGUAAACCCAAGAGCAAAGCACCGAAUGAAGAAACAGAGGCAGUAUGUGUACUGUAGUCAGCACCAAGGCUACGUCGCUAGAUAGCUAGCUGUAAUCCCAGGGGCUGUUUGCUGUUGGUGAUGGUUCGUGUUAGCGAUGAGGCAGGGGUGUACAAAGAUGUAAUGGGUUGAGGGAGAUAGCCAUGUUUCCAUAAACCUAAGGUGAGUUUUCUGAAAGCUUUAUGGCUAACGUGGUACUUCAUUUCUCUCAACAAUCAAGACUCAAACCCCAUGUAGAACAUCAAACAUUGAUUUUGCAAUUGGUGCUAUCAUGGUUGAGUUGUCAAGAUAUACAAAGUGCCACGUUAGCUAUGAAGCUUCUGUGAAACUCUGAGUUCUGAGGUGUGUGGCAUGAAGUGAGAAAGGCUAAGGACAGCAGGUGAGACGGGCUAAGAACAGGUGGUGUCUAGAUGACUUAAGAAGGUGUUUCAAAAGGGGUGUGUGUCAGUUUUAUGGUGUGAAGUGACUGAAGAGGUUUUUAGUUGAUCACACAGACAGUUGUCCAUGGUAAAACAGACACACAGACAGUUGUCCAUGGUAAAACAGACACACAGACAGUCGGUUUGGGUCGAGACGGGGCUGGUGUGAGAAUGAAAACCACUGACUAAAGGGGGGUAACUGACUCAGUCUUUGGUUGGAUGACAGACCUCACUUCCUUGACGUAGACUCAAACCAACAUGUCUGAACAUCAUCAAACCAACUAACAUUCGCACACAAUCUCUCUCUCUAGGAGAGGUCCAUCAACUAAUAUUCGUUUUCUUUAUCCAUUUGUGUAGAGCUGUGUUUAAUAAACUCCAGAGGAGAGGAGUGAUGGAAAGAAAAAUAAAGAUGAAUUUACUACUC